AUGCUUUUGUAUUUCCAGAAGUUGGAGAAGAAAGAAUUCCAUAAUAAUAAGCCUAACCUGAGUAACCAAGAUAAGCUCACUGUUCCUACCAUCAUCUUCAAACAUGUUUAAAUCAAGGUUUGGAUCUGGAUCAGAACUCCAGAGUGAGGAAGUAGAAUUUUUUCUUGAAGGUUGAACUAGAGUGCCAGGAUAUACCACUGAGUCUUAGACAUACUUUAUGUUAGGGAA
rnacentral:lncRNA from 1 species